rnacentral:rRNA from 1 species
AGUUUGAUCCUGGCUCAGGAUGAACGCUAGCGGGAGGCCUAACACAUGCAAGUCGAACGGGAUUGGUAGCAAUACCAUGAGAGUGGCGCACGGGUGAGUAACGCGUAUGCAACCUACCUGUAACAGAGGGAUAGCGUAGAAAUGCGGAUUAAUACCCCAUAGUACUAUUAGAUCGCAUGGUUUGAUAGUUAAAGUUUCGGCGGUAAAAGAUGGGCAUGCGUGACAUUAGCUAGUUGGUAAGGUAACGGCUUACCAAGGCUACGAUGUCUAGGGGUUCUGAGAGGAUGAUCCCCCACACUGGUACUGAGACACGGACCAGACUCCUACGGGAGGCAGCAGUGAGGAAUAUUGCGCAAUGGGCGCAAGCCUGAACCAGCCAUCCCGCGUGCAGGAUGACGGCCCUAUGGGUUGUAAACUGCUUUUAUACACCAAGAAAAAUCCCCACGUGUGGGGACCCGACGGUACCCACAAAGGAAGCAUCGGCUAACUCCGUGCCAGCAGCCGCGGUAAUACGGAGGAUGCAAGCGUUAUCCGGAUUCAUUGGGUUUAAAGGGUGCGUAGGCGGCUUUUUAAGUCAGUGGUGAAAUCCUGCCGCUUAACGGUAGAAUUGCCAUUGAUACUGAAAAGCUUGAGUACAGUUGAGGUAAGCGGAAUGUGUAGUGUAGCGGUGAAAUGCUUAGAUAUUACACAGAACACCAAUUGCGAAGGCAGCUUACUAAACUGAUACUGACGCUGAUGCACGAAAGCGUGGGGAGCGAACAGGAUUAGAUACCCUGGUAGUCCACGCCGUAAACGAUGCUCACUCGCUGUCGGCGAUACACAGUCGGUGGCCAAGCGAAAGCGAUAAGUUAUCCACCUGGGGAGUACGAUCGCAAGGUUGAAACUCAAAGGAAUUGACGGGGGCCCGCACAAGCGGAGGAACAUGUGGUUUAAUUCGAUGAUACGCGAGGAACCUUACCUGGGCUUAAAUGUAGGCUGCAUUCGGCUGAAAGGCUGAUUCCCUUCGGGGCUGCUUACAAGGUGCUGCAUGGUUGUCGUCAGCUCGUGCCGUGAGGUGUCGGGUUAAGUCCCAUAACGAGCGCAACCCUUAUCGUUAGUUGCCAGCGGGUCAAGCCGGGGACUCUAGCGAGACUGCCACCGUAAGGUGUGAGGAAGGUGGGGAUGACGUCAAAUCAGCACGGCCCUUAUGUCCAGGGCUACACACGUGUUACAAUGGCCGAUACAAAGGGCAGCUACCAGGUGACUGGAUGCUAAUCUCCAAAGUCGGUCUCAGUUCGGAUCGAAGUCUGCAACCCGACUUCGUGAAGCUGGAUUCGCUAGUAAUCGCAUAUCAGCCAUGAUGCGGUGAAUACGUUCCCGGGCCUUGUACACACCGCCCGUCAAACAAUGGAAGCUGGGGGUGCCUAAAGUUCGUGACCGCAAGGAGCGACCUAGGGUAAAACCAAUGACUGGGGCUAAGUCGUAACAAGGUAACC